AGAACGAACGCUGGCGGCAGGCUUAACACAUGCAAGUCGAGCGCCCCGCAAGGGGAGCGGCAGACGGGUGAGUAACGCGUGGGAACAUACCCUCCGGUUCGGAAUAGCUCAGGGAAACUUGGAUUAAUACCGGAUACGGCCUAGCGGCGAAAGAUUCAUCGCCGGAGGAUUGGCCCGCGUCUGAUUAGCUAGUUGGUGGGGUAAUGGCCCACCAAGGCGACGAUCAGUAGCUGGUCUGAGAGGAUGAUCAGCCACAUUGGGACUGAGACACGGCCCAAACUCCUACGGGAGGCAGCAGUGGGGAAUAUGGACAAUGGGCGCAAGCCUGAUCCAGCCAUGCCGCGUGAGUGAUGACGGCCUUAGGGUUGUAAAGCUCUUUCGCUAGGGACGAUAAUGACGGUACCUAGACAAGAAGCCCGGCUAACUUCGUGCCAGCAGCCGC
rnacentral:rRNA from 1 species